AUGCAGGUUUUACUGAAUUUUUCUUUUCCUCCGCCAGUUAACAACGAUAUGCUUGGUUUUAUUCAUAGUGAAUCGAUUCCGCUUGCUCUUUUAUUGGUCUUAUUUAUGCAGGGCAAUUUGUCAAUUAAAUUCGACUUCAGAGGCUCCAGCAAUUCCAUACGGACCACCUUUCGUGCAUUACAAAGACCCGAGAUCUGUACUGUAUUCUUCAAAUGUAGAUUCUAA